GACGAACGCUGGCGGCGUGCUUAACACAUGCAAGUCGAACGGAAAGGCCUGCUUUCCCUUGUGGAUUGCGGGUACUCGAGUGGCGAACGGGUGAGUAACACGUGAGUGAUCUGCCCCCAACUUGGGUAUAAGCCUGGGAAACUGGGUCUAAUUCCCGAUAGGACUGCAGGGUGGUGCCUGUGGUGGAAAACGAUUUUCUAGUGGUUGGGGAUGAGCUCGCGGCCUAUCGGCUUGUUGGUGGGGUAAUGGCCUACCAAGGCGGCGACGGGUAGCCGGCCUGGGAGGGUGGACGGCCACAUUGGGACUGAGAUACGGCCCAGACUCCUACGGGAGGCAGCAGUGGGGAAUAGUGCACAAUGGGCGGAAGCCUGAUGCAGCGACGCCGCGUGGGGGAUGACGGCCUUCGGGUUGUAAACUCCUUUCGACCGCGAGGAAGCCACCUGGUUGGAAGGGUGGUGACGGUAGUGGUAGAAGAAGCACCGGCUAACUACGUG
rnacentral:rRNA from 1 species